CCUACGGGAGGCAGCAGUGGGGAAUAUUGGACAAUGGGCGAAAGCCUGAUCCAGCAAUGCCGCGUGAGUGAUGAAGGCCUUCGGGUCGUAAAGCUCUUUUACCAGGGAUGAUAAUGACAGUACCUGGAGAAUAAGCUCCGGCUAACUCCGUGCCAGCAGCCGCGGUAAUACGGAGGGAGCUAGCGUUGUUCGGAAUUACUGGGCGUAAAGAGUACGUAGGCGGUUAUUCAAGUCAGAGGUGAAAGCCCGGGGCUCAACCCCGGAACUGCCUUUGAAACUAGAUAACUAGAGUCUUGGAGAGGUUAGUGGAAUUCCGAGUGUAGAGGUGAAAUUCGUAGAUAUUCGGAAGAACACCAGUGGCGAAGGCGACUAACUGGACAAGUACUGACGCUGAGGUACGAAAGCGUGGGGAGCAAACAGGAUUAGAUACCCUGGUAGUCCACGCCGUAAACGAUGAUAACUAGUUGUUCGGUCACUUGGUGACUGAGUGACGCAGCUAACGCAUUAAGUUAUCCGCCUGGGGAGUACGGUCGCAAGNUUAAAACUUAAAUGAAUUGACGGNNGAGAGNGCGAGACGACGACGAGGAGAG
rnacentral:rRNA from 1 species